AAUCAACGCUGGCGGCGUGCCUCAGACAUGCAAGUCGAACGCGAAAGUCCCCUUCGGGGGAUGAUUAGAGUGGCGCACGGGUGAGUAACACGUAGGUAAUCUACCUUCGAGUGGGGAAUAACUCAGGGAAACUUGAGCUAAUACCGCAUAAUGCAGCGGCACCACAUGGUGACAGUUGUUAAAGCAUUUAUGCGCUUGAAGAGGAGCCUGCGGCGGAUUAGCAGUUGGUAAGGUAAUGGCUUACCAAGGCUACGAUCUGUAACCGGCCUGAGAGGGCGGACGGUCACACUGACACUGAAUAACGGGUCAGACUCCUACGGGAGGCAGCAGUCGGGAAUUUUGGGCAAUGGGCGAAAGCCUGACCCAGCAACGCCGCGUGAAGGA
rnacentral:rRNA from 1 species